UUCCUGAUUUUGAAAUCACUGUUCACCUCAAACGCUACUUUCUCUCUCCUUCCGCCCCUCUCUCUCUCCUUCCGCCUCCGUCUCUCUCUCUCUCCUUUCUCCGAUGGCGUCCGACAAUUCCAUCCUCUUUCUCGUCCUCAUCUCCGUCACGAUCUACACCGUCUCCGGUACUCUCUCCUUUUUUUGCUCCUCUGGAAAUCUUUAAUUUCCCUAAUUUUGAUUUCCAAAACCUAAUUAUUGAUUUUUUUUUACACCCUACAACAUCAAUGGAGGCGCGGUUGGUUUCGGCUGGUCGGACAAGGAGAUACAAGCAGGUGAAGGUGAUAGUAGGAGUUUCGCAGAGUUUAGACGCGGUGGUGGCGAGUUCCGCCUCUCCCUUUCCAUGGCGACAGUUGUUCUGACUCUUGAAGUUAUGUUUAGGUUGAUUUGGAUUUUGUCGAAAAUUUGGACGAUUUCAGGUUGUUUGGUUAGGAUUGCGUGAAAAAAUGGAAGGUCAAAGCUCCUCCCGAGAUGUAAUCUCGGCCUUGUUGUCGUCUCCAGAUGCAGCUAUGGUUCCGACGAGAAGUUAGGGUUCCGGUGAACGAAAUAAUGCUAGACCUAGUUACACAGAUCGUGAUUAUGGCGUGCCUCAUAUAGCAUCAUCAUCUUCGGAAGAAGUUUGAUGUAAGUAUGGCUCAAAGCAGCAAGCAGGAUCUUUGGUGUCAUUACAAGGACCUCAUGUUGAUCAAGCUCUUUCUGCCAAGUAGCAACAUCCCAAAAAUCAACACCCAUAUCCCCCCAAUACUUGCCCACCUUUAAGUCCGUAUGCAUCUCAAUGACUUCUGUUUGUUGCGUAACCAGAACAACAGUAGGCACUAAGAAUACGGCAAUAUUGGACUGUGCAGGCCGGUGAAGGGAAUGAGCAAAACUUCGAAGAAGCAUGACAGCAAUCAAUGUCUUUCCCGAACCAGUCUCCAAGAACACAAUAGUGUUUUAAAAGCUCGUAAGGGUAGUAAGAAGGUGGUCUGAUAUGCUCUUGUUUCAUAUGCAGAAAUCAUGGCAAGCAUCUGAUAAAUCAUAAGGUGUAUGAUUUCAGGAGGAUAUCCUCCUUUUGGUUUCGGCGAUUCGGUGCGGCCUGGUGGUCUGCGGUGGCAGCUCUGUCGCCGCCUCUGCUGAUAUUACUUGGUUCAUGUUGUUAGUUGUUGUUGAUGCAAUCUUUGAAGAGUAGUGUCAGCUCAUGUUGCUUUGGUGGUGUUGUUAUUUGUUUUAGUUAUGAUUAAUUCAUUUUAGUUAAUAAUUUCGUCUUAGUUAAACUUUUGUUAUAUUUAGUUAUGAGAAAAAUUGUUUGAUUACUUUAUUUUAUAUUUAAGUCAUUUUUGUUUUAGUUUAAAAAUUGUAUUGUUUUAGUUACAUAUUUUUUAUAUUUAGUUAUAAAAUAAAAUGGUUU